rnacentral:hammerhead_ribozyme from 1 species
ACCCAGCUGACAAGUCUCAAAUGGGACGAAACACGCGUCCUGGUU